rnacentral:rRNA from 1 species
GAUGAACGCUGGCGGCGUGCCUAAUACAUGCAAGUAGAACGCUGAAGCUUGGUGCUUGCACCGGGCGGAUGAGUUGCGAACGGGUGAGUAACGCGUAGGUAACCUGCCUCUUAGCGGGGGAUAACUAUUGGAAACGAUAGCUAAUACCGCAUAAAAGUCGACAUUGCAUGAUGUUGAUUUGAAAGGUGCAAUUGCAUCACUAAGAGAUGGACCUGCGUUGUAUUAGCUAGUUGGUGAGGUAACGGCUCACCAAGGCGACGAUACAUAGCCGACCUGAGAGGGUGAUCGGCCACACUGGGACUGAGACACGGCCCAGACUCCUACGGGAGGCAGCAGUAGGGAAUCUUCGGCAAUGGGGGCAACCCUGACCGAGCAACGCCGCGUGAGUGAAGAAGGUUUUCGGAUCGUAAAGCUCUGUUGUAAGAGAAGAACGAGUGUGAGAGUGGAAAGUUCACACUGUGACGGUAACUUACCAGAAAGGGACGGCUAACUACGUGCCAGCAGCCGCGGUAAUACGUAGGUCCCGAGCGUUAUCCGGAUUUAUUGGGCGUAAAGCGAGCGCAGGCGGUUAGAUAAGUCUGAAGUUAAAGGCUGUGGCUUAACCAUAGUACGCUUUGGAAACUGUUUAACUUGAGUGCAAAAGGGGAGAGUGGAAUUCCAUGUGUAGCGGUGAAAUGCGUAGAUAUAUGGAGGAACACCGGUGGCGAAAGCGGCUCUCUGGUCUGUAACUGACGCUGAGGCUCGAAAGCGUGGGGAGCAAACAGG